rnacentral:lncRNA from 1 species
AAGAUUACAUGGCUUAUUGAGAUAAGAUUCACAAAUCUAGAUUUGUUAACAACAGUUGAAAAUGAAAAAACGGGGAAUUAUGAAUUAAUGGAAAAUGAACUGAGCAUGAUGUAUAAAUAAAGAUAAUUCCUUAUGUGAUGAUUUGGGAUAGUAUUGCAACAACUUGCCACAAAAAUCAUAUCAGAGCUAUCGAUUUUCCCUUAAACAUAGAAGUGUACAUCCAGAUUUCUAUCCUCAAGAAGAUGGAAAGCAUCUCCUUUGAAAAGAGAAGUGGAUUUGGUGAGGAACAUAUGGAAGAUGAAAACAUACUGAAAUGGUUAGAGAUGAUUGGAGUUAAAAGUGUUGAGUACUAAGAGGCUAUUAGAAAAGUGAAUUAAUAGUAACCUAACCCUGAAAUUGAAUUACUAAUUUUUAAUUAAUAAUUUAAUUUAAUUCAAUGAAAAAUGGGAAAUUUCAUGAUAUUUAUCAAAUUUAUAAACUGCAUUUUGGAAAUUAGGC